AUGGCUCAUCAAGCAGGAAAUUGUCAUCAGCAGCAUUAGCACUGUUACUAGAUUCAGCAAUAUAUUCAUGUCUUACUGAUUUUGUAUCAAUCUCAUAUUGUCCAGGUAAACUGAAUAAGUUUUGGUCAUCUGGAAGAUCAGAACCAUACUGAGUUUCCCCCUGGUCAAUUAUAGGCUUUUGAUCAUCUCCACUGAAGUUUCCAGAGUGCUCCACAUAGUUACUUGUUUCUCCAUGGUAGUAGUUCACAGAAAGGGCAGCAUUUUCAGACACAACUCCACCCUCAAAAUUCUGCUCAAGGUCAUUAGUUUCCACAUGUACAUCUUCACCAAGUAUUACUUCAUCAGCCAUCACCAUCUCCUCACCAGGUAAUACAACCACCACUUCAUCAUCAUCCCAUUCUUCCUCAACAAAUGGUGCCCCAUACUGUUCUCCAUUCUUUGGCCCUGUUCCACUCUUUUG
rnacentral:misc_RNA from 1 species